rnacentral:rRNA from 1 species
AUGUUCAAAGUUGUUAUGAGAAUCCCAAAUUUUGUAGCUGGAAGAACUUUGGUUUAUAUGUAUUAUGUCAAUGUUUGUAUCUGUUCUUCUUCUACAUGUUCAUUUAAUUGGUUCCAAAUUACACGCGGGAAGGAACUCCUGAUGAGCUUCACUGAAAAUCUUGAUAAACGCUUUCUUGAUCAUAUAAUGAAGAAAAAUCUUGAUAAGCGUGCUCUUGGUCAUUUAACAAAUUUGAACUCUUCUCCGAGGGCGAUUGCACAGGAAAUGUCUAAUGUCCACAUCAAGCAUUACCAUCAGUGGCGAAGCUACAUGUAA